rfam:Rattus norvegicus chromosome 11, whole genome shotgun sequence.
GGGGAUUUGGCUCAGUGGUAGAGCGCUUGCCUAGCAAGUGCAAGACCCUGGGUUCAGUCCCCA